GACGAACCGUGCGAACGUUAUUCGGAAUCACUGGGCUUAAAGGGCGCGUAGGCGGGCCCGUCAGUCAGGGGUGAAAUCCCACGGCCCAACCGUGGAAGUGCCUCUGAUACUGCGGGCCUCGAGGGGGAUAGGGGCGUGCGGAACUCAGGGUGGAGCGGUGAAAUGCGUAGAUAUCAGGAGGAACACCUGUGGUGUAGACAGCUUACUGGACCAUUUCUGACGCUGAGACACGAAAGCGUGGGUAGCAAACAGG
rnacentral:rRNA from 1 species